rnacentral:tRNA from 1 species
GGGGUUGUGGCUCAGUGACGGAGCCUCUGCUUGGCACGCAAAGGUCCCAGGUUCCAUUCUUGGCAUCUCCA